UACGGAGGAUGCGAGCGUUAUCCGGAUUUAUUGGGUUUAAAGGGUGCGUAGGCUGGUAAUUAAGUCAGUGGUGAAAUACUCCGGUUCAACCGGGGGGCUGCCGUUGAUACUGGUUACCUUGAGUUUAGAUGAUGUGGGCGGAAUGUGUCAUGUAGCGGUGAAAUGCAUAGAGAUGACACAGAACACCGAUAGCGAAGGCAGCUCACAAAGCUAUUACUGACGCUGAUGCACGAAAGCGUGGGGAUCAAACAGGAUUA
rnacentral:rRNA from 1 species